AGAAAUUUAGGUUAACAACCACUAAACCAAGGGCCUUCAAAGCCCUAAACAGAGGACCCCGAACCCUCUAAUUUCUG
rnacentral:tRNA from 2 species